rnacentral:lncRNA from 1 species
AUUUUUUGUCUUCAUUUACUGCAUGGCUAAUGGCUUAACGCUCAGUCGUGCACGAAGAGAAUAAAAUGGCGGCUGAUUUUGGUUAUACAUUGGCUUUUAUAGUUCCAAGAAUUGAUACAAUAUUUUGGUUUUCUAUAAGGCGAAAUACAUGAACGCCUCACCUAUCAAUUGAACAUCUUAAUUGAGCCCAGUUUUUAUUAGACACUAUUCACACAAAAAAGAACUAAACACUCGAAUAUAUCAGUGUCCGUCGCGUGAAAUACACUUUCUGAGAGGUGAGUUGCCUAUCUAAAGUUAGAUUUUUCUUUUCUUUCCUAAAAUAAUAUGGACCCAUCUAAUUUUCAUAUCUCCUUCUCCUUUUAUUUUCUUCUCCACCAUUCGACACCCUCAUUCACCCUAAAUCACUCAUGCCUCCAUUUUAUCCUGCUUAAUUUUCUUUUGUUUCGUUCCUUUCCCCCAUACCUUCACUUCACUAUACAAUUUAACAUAUACUAGCUGGUUGAACUGAAUUACAAUAAAAGAGAAUUUAUGAUGGAAUUUUGUUCAAGAUUCAAUUUUUUAAAUAUCGAUUAUCAAUUUGUUAGUUACUGUGUAUUAUCAAUUUUCUUUCUGCGUACACAUUACAUUCUUCAGACUAUACGAUGUAGAAUAUUACUUGAUAUGUUGUUGUUGUUGUUUGUUGUAGUGUAUUAUCAAUUUGUGGGAACUGGUUCUUAAUUAUCAACAGAAAGGAACAUAUAGAGCAAUAAAAAGGACAUAAGCAAGGGGGUCGCCAAAAAAACGUAGAUCCGGCCAGACUCAUGAAAAACAGUCCACAAAUAUAACGCAAAAUCAUAUCUUCGGCCAAAUUUGGAUAUAUCUAAAGUCGAUCGUUUUUAAUGGGGUCACCAACUUUUUAGAUCUUAUCGGCAUUUGAAGGCCUAUCAGGAGGGUUCCGACUUAACAGAAUAGUGACGUGGAGAGGGGGGAAGAGUAAAGGGUGGUUGUGGUUGAAGAAGAGGUCGCCGCCUAGUCGGUCAUCACCUCUGGAGGCAGCGAUUGGUGGCGAUGCAACGACAGAAAUGGAGGGAGAGAGGAGCCGGUAGCUAAGGCUGCAAAUCUGGCGGUUCCGAACCGGAACUGGACCGGAACCGCGGCCCUGGCGGUUCCGGCGGCCCGGUUCCUGGGAACCGUGGAGGGCGGUUCUACCCGUUGGAAUCGCUAGAAUCGGAACCGCCAGAACCGGAAGUUUUUUUAAAAAAAAUAAAAUUUAAAAUUAUUUCCAAACGGCUCUUUUUCAAAACUAGCCGUUUGGAAGUUUAAAAAAUAGUCAUUUGGCUUCCAAACUUUAAUUUAACCCAAAACUUUAUAUAAUUAUACUAUUUCCCAUUUCUCAACUAUAAAUACCCCUCAUUCUUUCAUUUUUAUUCACCAAUUUAUCAAUA